rnacentral:rRNA from 1 species
GAUGAACGCUGGCGGCGUGCCUAAUACAUGCAAGUCGAGCGAACAGACGAGGAUCUUGCUCCUCUGACGUUAGCGGCGGACGGGUGAGUAACACGUGGAUAACCUACCUAUAAGACUGGGAUAACUUCGGGAAACCGGAGCUAAUACCGGAUAAUAUAUUGAACCGCAUGGUUCAAUAGUUAAAGACGGUUUUGCUGUCACUUAUAGAUGGAUCCGCGCCGCAUUAGCUAGUUGGUAAGGUAACGGCUUACCAAGGCAACGAUGCGUAGCCGACCUGAGAGGGUGAUCGGCCACACUGGAACUGAGACACGGUCCAGACUCCUACGGGAGGCAGCAGUAGGGAAUCUUCCGCAAUGGGCGAAAGCUUGACGGAGCAACGCCGCGUGAGAGAUGAAGGUCUUCGGAUCGUAAAACUCUGUUAUUAGGGAAGAACAGAUGUGGAAGUAACUAUGCACGUCUUGACGGUACCUAAUCAGAAAGCCACGGCUAACUACGUG